CCCUUAGAUGUUCUGGGCUGCACGCGUGCUACACUGAUAUUGCCAAUAUGUCAUUCUUAUCCGAAAUGGAUUGGGUAAUCAAGUAAUGAAAUUUCAUGCUUGGAAUCGGUAAUUGCAAUUUUAUCGUGAACGAGGAAUUCCUAGUAAGCACUAGUCAUCAGCUAAUGUUGAUUGUGUCCCUGCCCUUUGUACACACCGCCCGUCGCUACUACUGAUUGGGUGUUCAAGUGAGAUGCUUAGACCCUUGUUGCAUGGUUCAUUAUUGUGCUCCGAAAGGAAAAAGUUUCAAGCUUGAGUGUCUAGAGGAAGUAAAAGUCGUAACA
rnacentral:rRNA from 1 species